rnacentral:sRNA from 1 species
GUUUGCACUUAUCGGGGAAGGGUGAGAACCUUCGAUUAAGGUUCGACUCGAGCGAAAGCGAGAGAACGUUGCCAACGGCAACGGCCCGUAGGGUGAG